UAUCUUAGCGGCGGACGGGUGAGUAAUGCUUAGGAAUCUGCCUCAUUAGUGGGGGACAACAUUUCGAAAGGAAUGCUAAUACCGCAUACGCCCUACGGGGGAAAGCAGGGGAUCUUCGGACCUUGCGCUAAUAGAUGAGCCUAAGUCGGAUUAGCUAGUUGGUGGGGUAAAGGCCUACCAAGGCGACGAUCUGUAGCGGGUCUGAGAGGAUGAUCCGCCACACUGGGACUGAGACACGGCCCAGACUCCUACGGGAGGCAGCAGUGGGGAAUAUUGGACAAUGGGGGGAACCCUGAUCCAGCCAUGCCGCGUGUGUGAAGAAGGCCUUUUGGUUGUAAAGCACUUUAAGCGAGGAGGAGGAGCUCUAGAUUAAUACUCUAGAUGCUUGGACGUUACUCGCAGAAUAAGCACCGGCUAACUCUGUG
rnacentral:rRNA from 1 species